GACGAACGCUGGCGGCGUGCUUAACACAUGCAAGUCGAACGGAAAGGCCCUGCUCUUGUGGGGCGCUCGAGUGGCGAACGGGUGAGUAACACGUGAGUAACCUGCCCUUGACUUAGGGAUAACUUCAGGAAACUGGGGCUAAUAUCGGAGAGGAGCUCCUGCUGCACGGUGGGGGUUGGUAAGAUUCGGCGGUUGGGGAUCGACUCGCGGCUUAUCCGCUUGUUGGUGGGGUAGUGGCUUACCAAGGCUUUGACGGAUAGCCGGCCUGGGAGGGUGAACGGCCACAUUGGGACUAAGAGACGGCCCAGACGCCUACGGGAGGCAGCAGUGGGGAAUUUUGCGGAAUGGGGGGAAGCCUGAUGCAGCAGCGCCGCGUGCGGGAUGACGGCCUACGGGUUGUAAACCGCUUUCGCAGGUGACGAAGCGUGAGUGACGGUAAUGAGUAAGGAAGCACCGGCUAACUACGUG
rnacentral:rRNA from 1 species